UACGUAGGGGGCGAGCGUUGUCCGGAGUUACUGGGCGUAAAGCGCUUGUAGGCGGUCCACCAAGUUUGGGGUGACAGUUGCCGACUUAAUCGGCAAAGUGCCUCAAAGACUGGCGGACUUGAGGGCCACAGAGGGACAUGGAACUCCAGGUGUAGUGGUGAAAUGCGCAGAUAUCGGGAAGAACACCUAUGGCGAAGGCAGCUCUCUGGGACGGUACUGACGCUGAGACGCGAAAGCGUGGGGAGCAAACAGG
rnacentral:rRNA from 1 species